rnacentral:rRNA from 1 species
UACAGAGGUCCCAAGCGUUGUUCGGAUUUACUGGGCGUGAAGGGCGCGUAGGCGGUCAGUGCAAGUCAGUUGUGAAAUCUCCGGGCUUAACUCGGAAAGGUCAACUGAUACUGCUCGACUAGAGUGCGGAAGGGGCAACUGGAAUUCUCGGUGUAGCGGUGAAAUGCGUAGAUAUCGAGAGGAACACCUGCGGCGAAGGCGGGUUGCUGGGCCGACACUGACGCUGAUGCGCGAAAGCCAGGGGAGCGAACGGG